UACGUAGGGGGCGAGCGUUGUCCGGAGUACUGGGCGUAAAGCGCACGCAGGCGGUUUCGUACGUCUGGAGUGACAGUUCCCGGCUCAACUGGGAAAGGUCUUUGGAAACGGCGAGACUUGAGGGGCUUCAGAGGGACACGGAAUUCCGGGUGGAGUGGUGAAAUGCGUAGAGAUCCGGAGGAACACCAAGUGGCGAAGGCAGUGUCCUGGGAAGCAUCUGACGCUCAGGUGACGAAAGGCUAGGGGAGCGAACAGG
rnacentral:rRNA from 1 species